rnacentral:rRNA from 1 species
GACGAACGCUGGCGGCGUGCUUAACACAUGCAAGUCGAACGGAAAGGCCCCUUUGGGGGUACUCGAGUGGCGAACGGGUGAGUAACACGUGAGUAACCUGCCCUUGACUUCGGGAUAACUUCAGGAAACUGGGGCUAAUACCGGAUAGGAAUCCUUGCUGCAUGGUGGGGGUUGGAAAGCUUCGGCGGUUUUGGACGGACUCGCGGCUUAUCAGCUUGUUGGUGGGGUAGUGGCUUACCAAGGCUUUGACGGGUAGCCGGCCUGAGAGGGCGACCGGCCACAUUGGGACCGAGAUACGGCCCAGACUCCUACGGGAGGCAGCAGUGGGGAAUAUUGCACAAUGGGCGGAAGCCUGAUGCAGCAACGCCGCGUGCGGGAUGACGGCCUUCGGGUUGUAAACCGCUUUCAGCAGGGGCGAAGCUUGUGGUGACGGUACCUGCAGAAGAAGCACCGGCUAACUACGUG